AUAGUACUCCCUCCGUCCCGAAUUACUUGUCGCAGAAAUGGAUAAAAAUGGAUGUAUCUGGAACUAAAAUAUGUCUAGAUAUAUCCAUUUCUGCGACAAGUAAUUCCGGAUGGAGGGAGUAUUAG
rfam:Triticum aestivum genome assembly, contig: Triticum_aestivum_CS42_TGACv1_scaffold_020524_1AS